AGCGAACGCUGGCGGCAUGCCUAGCACAUGCAAGUCUGACGGGCGGGGCUUUUUGGGCUCUGUCAGUGGCGGACGGGUGAGGAGCGCGUAGGAACGUAUCCAGGGGUGGGGGACAACCGCGGGAAACUGCGGCUAAUACCGCAUGGGGCCUUGUGGGGAGACCCGAAAGGGGGGAUCCGGGGCCAAAGGCGAGGGCGACCUCGCCGCCGCUGGAGCGGCCUGCGUCCGAUUAGCUAGUGU
rnacentral:rRNA from 1 species